GAAAAAUAGCCUGGUGUGUUUAAACAGCUUUGCAGGCGUGUGGGCAGGCGCGCGGGAGGGUGCUGUGUGUUUGGGUGAGCUGGGGACGCGGCACUGGAGCGUGUCUGAGCUCUCACUCAUGUCACAGUCACACGUGUGCGCGUGCUUAGCUUGCCCCUGGCUUUGGCUGGGGCUGAGCUGCAUGGGAUGCAAGUGCCUCCUGUGCUGUUACAGGGUCUGUGCCUUGUGGUGGUGGUGCAGGUGCGCUCGGAGGAUGCUCUUCCCCCAGUACCCACCCCAAUUUUGCACAGACAAAGACCCGCGUGUUUGGAGUGAGCAGCCCUGUGAUUUUUGCUUCAAUAACCAGCCGAGACAACAGGGGAGAGUCGGGUCAGGAUGGAGCCGUCGUCGAGCUGCACGGAGCUGCUGAGCACCUCAGGGUUUAAUGAGAUUUGUGCAAGACGCUGGCAGGAAAAUGCUGCUGGAGGUCAGGUAAAGCCUCGCUGGAGAGCCCUUGGUAUUGCUGGAGGGAUGCGAGAUGGAGCAGAGGCGUCCUCACGGCAAGCAGCAACUCUUCCCGGGGGGGUUUUAUCCUCCGAUCCCAUCCCCUGCACGUGGUCCUCAUGCUCACCUCUCUCACCCACUAUUAAUGACAUUUCACAAGGUGAUGCUCCGGCGUGCUGAUUAAACAGGAUAUUGGAGCUGAAGAUAAAAUGUCCUGGAAGGCGGCUGCUGCUCUCUGGGGAAAAUAGCUUUAUUUUGCCACAGAAAUGAUCUGGGAAUGGCAAACUGUGGGAAAAACCUGCUGUGAUGUUCCUGGCCUUUGCCAAAGGGACAAGGGAUGAAGGGGUCACGUGCCGCCCCACCCCUGCUCCUUUCAUGGGGACCCCCUGCUUGUGCCAGGGCCUAUUGGAUCUGUGGAGACUUCAAGUUUGUCCAAAAUUGGCUGACUUUAACAAAAGCUGCAGUUGUGCAAGCAUCCUUUGCUCCCCCUUGCUCCAUUUCCAGGGGCGAGCUUAGGGCAAAUGGCACUUCUCUAGUUUUGGGAUCGGCCCCAAAUGCUCAUAGCUGAGCAAACCAUGCAUGAAACCAUUUCUCUGGGAAGAAAAACAAUUAUUUUCCUACCCGAAAUACAUAUCUGUGGAUAAUGCUAAUUGCAUGGCUCUGAAUAAUGCUAAUUGCACUCGACCUCUGUGGAAGACAUAUGUAGAUAAUAAUACCUCGGUCUUCAA
rnacentral:lncRNA from 1 species